AAAGAUAAAAGAGUUACUUUGAUAGAGUAAAUAACAGAGGUGCAAAUCCUCUUAUUUUUA
rnacentral:tRNA from 1 species